UGCAUCGGCCGGGAAUCGAACCCGGGGCGCCCGCGUGGCAGGCGAGCAUCUACCACUGAACCAAAAGC
rnacentral:tRNA from 1 species